AUGAACGCUGGCGGCGUGCCUAAUACAUGCAAGUCGCGCGAACAGACGAGGAGCUUGCUCCUCUGACGUUAGCGGCGGACGGGUGAGUAACACGUGGAUAACCUACCUAUAAGACUGGGAUAACUUCGGGAAACCGGAGCUAAUACCGGAUAAUAUAUUGAACCGCAUGGUUCAAUAGUGAAAGACGGUUUUGCUGUCACUUAUAGAUGGAUCCGCGCCGCAUUAGCUAGUUGGUAAGGUAACGGCUUACCAAGGCAACGAUGCGUAGCCGACCUGAGAGGGUGAUCGGCCACACUGGAACUGAGACACGGUCCAGACUCCUACGGGAGGCAGCAGUAGGGAAUCUUCCGCAAUGGGCGAAAGCCUGACGGAGCAACGCCGCGUGAGUGAUGAAGGUCCUCGGAUCGUAAAACUCUGUUAUUAGGGAAGAACAAAUGUGUAAGUAACUAUGCACGUCUUGACGGUACCUAAUCAGAAAGCCACGGCUAACUACGUG
rnacentral:rRNA from 1 species